UACGGAGGGUGCAAGCGUUAUCCGGAUUCACUGGGGUUAAAGGGUGCGUAGGUGGGUCUGUAAGUCCGUGGUGAAAUCUCCGAGCUUAACUUGGAAACUGCCAUGGAUACUAUAGGUCUUGAAUACUGUGGAGGUCAGCGGAAUAUGUCAUGUAGCGGUGAAAUGCUUAGAUAUGGCAUAGAACACCAAUUGCGAAGGCAGCUGGCUACACAAAUAUUGACACUGAUGCACGAAAGCGUGGGGAUCAAACAGG
rnacentral:rRNA from 1 species